rnacentral:rRNA from 1 species
AUUUUGGGGCUCAACCCCAACUCGCGUUGGAUACUGGCAAGCUAGAGUUAUGUAGAGGUUAGCGGAAUUCCAUGUGAAGCGGUGAAAUGCGUAGAUAUAUGGAAGAACACCAAGAUGGCGAAGGCAGCUAACUGGACAUACACUGACACUGAGAGACGAAAGCAUGGGGAGCAAACAGGAUUAGAUACCCUGGUAGUCCAUGCCGUAAACGAUGAUCAUUAGUUGAUGGGAGACUCAUCGACGCAGCU